GCAGCUCAGUUGCUUAGAGCGUGGUGCUGAUAAUGCCAAGGUUGCAGGUUCGAUUCCCAUACAGGCUGCA